rnacentral:rRNA from 1 species
AACGGUAACAGGAAACAGCUUGCUGUUUCGCUGACGAGUGGCGGACGGGUGAGUAAUGUCUGGGAAACUGCCUGAUGGAGGGGGAUAACUACUGGAAACGGUAGCUAAUACCGCAUAACGUCGCAAGACCAAAGAGGGGGACCUUCGGGCCUCUUGCCAUCGGAUGUGCCCAGAUGGGAUUAGCUAGUAGGUGGGGUAACGGCCCACCAAGGCGAUGAUCAGUAGCCGGUCUGAGAGGAUGAACGGCCACACUGGAACUGAGACACGGUCCAGACUCC